CGCCUCUCGGCCCGCCUUUUCCUCCCGGCCCUGCGUUGGUGGGCGCGCCGCGGGCUCUAAAAGCUCGACUGUCGGCCGGGCGCUGUGGCGCACGCCUGUAAUCCCAGCACUUUGGGAGGGCAAGGUGGGUGGAUCAAAGUUCGCGACCAGCCUGACCAACAUGGUGAAACUACGUCUCUACUAAAUUAGCCAGGCGUAGUGGCUCAUGCCUAUAAUCCGAGCUACUUGGGAGGCUGAGACAGGAGACUCGCUUGUACCCGGCAGGCGGAGGUUGCAGUGAGCCAAGAUUGCGCCAUUGCACUCCAGCCUCGGCAACAAGAGCGAAACUCCGUCUCAAAAAAAAAAAAAGCUCAACUGUGGGCCUGCGACCUUCACGCGCCAGCGCUGGAGAGGUGCCAGGCUCCCUGGGGCCGAGACCGGGGCAGAGGACGACACUUCGUCUGGCCGCCUAGCCUCGGCCUCUAAGCUUCCUGCAUCUUCUUCAUCGUAGGUGAUGUUGGACGUGACAGAGGAGGUGACAGGUCACCCUGAGUGCGGGACUCCGUGUCCAGAAGGAAGUGGGCCUCCAGGUGCCACGCCUUUGCUUCUGCUGUGGCAUCUGAUGAGUUCCCUGUUCAUCUCUCCAGGCAUUCCCAGGGCAGUCAGCCCUGAUGCCCAGGGGCUAGGCUUGCAAGACCGCGCAUUAGGUUCGCAGAGCUAGAGUGCAAGGCCAGACCUGGUACCAACAGCAUCUCCGCCUUCGUCCUCAUCUGGUUCCCGCCUCAAACCUGUACCUGUGCGGAGGAGCCUGGAAGAUUAUUGAUCUGACCAGAACAGUCCAGGUUCCAUGAUGCAUGCAGUGGUGUCUGUGAUCUGACUGAGAGACAUCUGGCUCUAUUUCAGAAGAACUAAAACUAUAGUUCCAGCUACUUCAGAGGCUAAGGUGGGAAGAUGGCUUGAAUCCAGGAGGUCGAGGCUGCAGUGAGCUGUGAUCUCACCACUGCACUGAUCUCACCACUGCACUCCAGCCUGGGCAACAAAGCAAAACCCUGUCUCAAAAAAUAAAGUAAAAUGAAAGAAUUCAAAAUAAUUAUGCAGCAAAAUGUUUACUGUAUUUCUAUAAAUUCAAAUAAAACAUGCCAAAUCCUUUGUCCCUCCCAUAAUUUCAAUGAGUAUGUACAGAAAAUUCUUAGGGAACAAUGUGAGCCAGGUAAUUGUUGAUCUGGUUGAGUAGCACUUUAGAGAUAACUUUUAUGUGUUCUCCCAUUCAGGACUUCACCAUGUCAGAAGAACUCAAUUAGCCCUCUUAAUAUAAAGAAACUGGCCGGGCAUGGUGGCUCACGUUGGCCCAACAAAACCUUUGGGAGGCUGAAACAGGCAAAUAACUUGAGCCCAGGAGUUCAAGAUCGGCCUGGGCAACCUGGCGAAACCUCGUCUCUACAAAAAAUACAAAAAAAUUAGCCGGGCAUGGUGGCAUGCACCUGUAAUCUAAACUACUUGGGAGGCUGAGAUGGGAGGAUUGCUUGAGCCUGGGAGAUGGAGGUUGCAGUGAGCCGAAAUUGUGCCACUGCACUCCAGCCUGGGUGACAGAGCAAGACUCUGUCUCAAAACAAUUUUAAACAAAACAACGAACUUGCUCAGAGAGGUUGAGUACCUUCGUAAGUUCAUACAGCUAUGGCAGGGUAAAAGUUAGGCCUGGCACUUCAGUUGUCUCAACCCAGCAUUUCUUCUACCGUGUCACGGAGUCCUCUCCACACACGUACUUUUGUAAGAUACAGUGACCAGCACUUAAUGUUUUUCUCUGUCAUUUUACAGGCCACUUUUCUCUCAUCUUUGUAAGCAAGCCUGGAUAAUUCAACUUGAGAUAAACAUGGGCUGCUUUAAAGCUUUACAGCACUUGCAUUUUUAGUUCUUCUGAAACAGAGCCAGAUGUCUCUCAAAGUCAGAUCACAGACACCACUGCAUGCAUCAUGGAACCUGGACUGUUCUGGUCAGAUCAAUAAUCUGGACAUUAUAAUUUUUUCAUUUUUUUUGUAGAGACGGGGGUCUCACUUUGUUGACCAGGCUGGUCUGGAACUCCUGGGCUCAAGUGAUCAGCCUGCCUGGGCCUCCCAAAGUGCUGGGAUUACAGGCUUCAGCCACUGCACCUAAUUCUUUCAUUUUAAUUAGAGUGUUUAUCUCUUCCAAAAGGUGGUUUUAAAAUUUCACAUGUGGUUCUCUCCUUAUUUUCAGUUGAGAAGAAGCAAAAAAAAAAAAAAAUUAGAAAGUAAAACGAUUGGCAGGAGCUUUGGAUAUUUUUACUUAUCCCAUUGUGCAACACAUUCAGUGACAAUACAGGCUUAUGAAGUUGUUCAGAUGGUUUGUCUAUGAGCAUGUCUGUUCCUACAGUUCUCCAGAACAUGAGAGCCCUUCAUGCCUAAUCUUGGCUUCCUGCUGAUAGACUUUUAAAGGGGUGUGAGUUGGCCAGCCAUGGACCUGGGUACGCUUCCAGUGGCCACAGAUGUGAACACAAUGCUGAGAGCAAUGGAAAUGUAAGCAAAGUAACAUGUAUGCUUGGUGAACAAUCAGAAGUAUGAAAUACGAGAAACCAAACCUGCCUGAUUGAUAAGAAUGGGGGGCCGGGUGCAGCGGCUCACGCUUGUAAUCCCAGCACUUUGGGAGGCUGAGGCAGGCGGAUCAUGAGGUCAGGAGUUCAAGACCAGCCUGACCAAUAUGGUGAAACCCUGUCUCUACUGAAAAUAAAAAAUUAGCCAGGUGUGGUGGCGCACACCUGUAAUCCCAGCUACUUAGGAGGCUGAGGCAGGAAAAUUGCUUGGAGGCGGAGGCUGCAGUGAGCCGAGAUCGCGCCACUGCACUCAGGCCUGGGAGACAGAGUGAGACUCUGUCUCAAAAAAACAAAACAAAAAACAAACAGAAAAAAUGGGGGGUAGGGGGUUUGAGGAGCACAAGGCUUGGACCUACUAGACCUGGAGAUUUGGGGAACGAGGGAUGCCAGCCAUGUUCCUUGUACUGUAUGCAAAAGGGAAGUAACAAGUAUUGAAUGUUCACUUACCUCUUUCAUUCCCCAAUAUGAAAUAGAUAUUCCCAUUUGCAAAAAAAAAAAAACAAAAAACAAAAAACAAAAAAAAAGAAGGCUCAGGAGAACUAGAAAGCAGAUGAAACAAAGAGGACUUCAUUCAGUACCAGAUGAAUUUAGUAUUUCUAUGUAUGUAUGUGGGUCUCCUAAUUUGAUUUUCAAAUUGUUCUUUAGAAAGAUUUUUAGCUAUAUUAAGAUUUCUUAAAAAGCUGGGCCAUGCCAGGCAGGGUGGCUCAUGCCUACAGUCCCAGCCACUCAGGAGGCUGAGGCGGGAGGAUCACUUAGCCCAAGAAAGGCUGCAGUGAGCUAUGACCAUGCCACUGCACUCCAGCCUGGGCAACAGUGAGACCCUGUCUCAAAUAAAUUGAAAAAAAAAAAAUGCUGGACCAAGAGUAUAAUUUCAGGCAUCAAUUCUGUAGUUCCUUACUAGAGAAGUUUCUCUUAACAUGUACAACACUGGAAACCAUGAGGAGGUGGCAGCACAGCAUUCUCUGCUGAGCGUGAGGUUGGCUCUUGGUGUUGCUUUGCUGCAACUGUCAUUUGCCAUUGAUGAUGGUUCUUCUCUUCCUCCGAGGGAGAGAAUGCAGUCUGAGUGGGGGAAAAAGCCUGGGCCAUGGACUUAUAGACUGUUAACAUUGGAGUCUUGCUAGUGAACAUUUUAGCUAUGAUUGGAUUGUUUGGAUAGCUGAGUUUGAUAUUUACAAUAUCCCUAGCUUACCACUUAAUGUCUGCUCUUCUAGAUGCUGUCCUUUUCCCGUAUCUUGUUAGUAUUCUCUUUAACCCAUUUUUCAGCUAAGUGAAGUGUUAGUAUUCCCUCCUCUGACACUUGUUCACUCAGCACAAAGAAUUCCUACUGUUACCUCUCCAGAACCCUACGGUCAUUAUAGUUGAGGAAGCUGAUGCAGGUGGGAGAAAGGACCAGACGCAUGGACCAUGCUGUUAAGGGAACAGGGACAGAGUGGGUUUUAAUCUGGUUCACCCAUCCACUUACUAGUUUGUAACCUGAGAGCUUCCACUUCCCCAUCCCCAACAUGGGGACAUACUGUCAUGGGACUGUUGUGAAGAAUGACAUGCCACACAGAUGAGCAGUCCUAGCUAAUGUUAGCUGUUAAUGGGUGAAGGAAAAGCAGGCACUUAACAUGUGGAUAUAGGCUAUCCCUUAUCUUUGUCUUGUGACACCAUCCUCACUAGUUCACAAUUGCCCUUUCGUACAGGCUAAGCAUCCCUUAUCCGAAAUGCUUGGAACCAUUUGUGUUUCAGAUUUCUACUUUUUUCCAGACUUCGGAAUAUUUGUAUAUACUUAAGGUUUUUAUGUAUACUUUAUGAUCUUAGAUAAUUUUAGACAGGGUCCUGCUCUGUCACCCAGUCUUGAGUGUAAUGAUACAAACACGGCUCACUGAAGCCACAGGUACAUGCCACCACACUGCACUAAUUUAAAACAAAAUUUCUUGUAGAGGCUGGGAUAGGUUUAAGCAAUCCUCCUGCCUCAGCCUCCCAAAGUGCAGGAAUCGCAGGCAUGAACCACCAUGCCUGGCCUAUGGUUUUAAUAUACAGGUUGGGCAUUCCUUACCUGAAAAUCCAAAACGUUCCAAUGAGCAUUUCCUUUGCGUGUCACGUUUACGUUUUGGGUUUUGGGUAAGGGAUGCUCAAGCCAUGUAUUAAAAACACAAAACUAGCCAGGCAUGGUGGCUCAUACUUGCAAUCUCCCAGCACUUCGGGAGGUCAAGGCGUGCAGAUCACUUAACACCAGGAGAUUGAGGUUUUCCUACAAAAAAUUAGCCAGGCAUGGUGGCAUGCCUGUAGUCCCAGCUACUUGAGGGUGGCUGAGGUGGGAUGACCGAUUUGAGCCUGGGAGUUUGAAGCUGCAGUAAGCCAUGGCUGCACCACUGCACUCCAGCCUGGGCCACAGCAAAAGAACCCCUCUCAAAAAACUUAAAACAUAAAACUCUAAUACUGACACCUACAUACUCCUACCCAUUGUCAACUCCACCUUGCUCAAGGUCCUAAAUUGUUCACUAUCCCGUCUUUGGUAUUUAUUACUCUUAGCAGAUGCAUAUAUUUAAUGUCUUUUUUGAGCUUAUGAGAAGCCCCAAGUGUUGCUUUGAACAUUCCCAGGCAUGUAUCCUAUGUCCACAUGUAGUUUCUCUUGAGUAAUGCCUCAAAGUAGAACUGCCAUUUUCCCCAAGUAGUUGUAGUAACUUACACAAAUGGUCUUUUUCACAUUGACACGAGGAGUCCCGGCUAGAAGUCACGCUUUUCAUCACUGAAUGUCUUCAUCUACUAAAUGCUAAUGGAGGUAAGGAUAAGACUCAUUCAUGUGCCUGGCAUGUCAUUAGCUGCUCUGAACACACAAUACCCACGGUUUAUUAUAUAAAUCCAAGCCUGAAAAGUUGAAAAUUCCAUUCAUGGUAUUAUUAAUUGGCAAACAAAAAAAGCUCUUAGUUUUUGGAACACAGGUUUGAAUCUUUUUUUUUUUCCACUUUGUGUAACUGGAGACCUUAAUAAACUAUUAAGUAAACUUUCUGCACUCCUUCAGUGUUACCAUAAAACUCCCAAACAUUUGGUGAGACAUUACAUAGCUAAGUCUUGUUUUUUUACAACCUUGGGAUGUAGCAGUCAACAUUCAGCAUACGUCAAAGUUCGUUCUUAGGCAGGGUUGUAUAGGGUAAAUACCCAGGAGGCUUUCUAAAGCUGGUCUGUAUUACCCUCCACCCCCA
rnacentral:lncRNA from 10 species